AGAAGAUGAAGAGGGCAGAGAGACAAUGGGACAGGACAAUCAACUGCAGAGAGGAAGAGUACUCUCUCUGCUGAGAGCUGCAGAGAUGACCUGCUGGCACAGAGGAGUUACCCACUCCUCUGAGCUGUUCUAACACUAAAUACAACUCUUCUUCAUCCUUCACUUGUCUGCAUACCUCAUUCUUUCUGGACACAAGACAAGAACUUGGGCAAAGGCACCAUGGCCACAGAGGUUUCCGGCCUGAAAAAUCAACACCCCAGAGAUCCUGUAACACUAUAUCCAUUCCUCACUCCUUUCUGCCCACUCUGUGCCUUUGGAGAGCAGCCUUCUUUGGACUAUCUUGCACUCUGAGAUAAACCAACAGAAGACCAAAGAGAGAAGAGACAGUGUAAGAUGUUUAUUCACAUUUCUCCCACCUUUCCAGGCCUGGUUUCAGCAGUGACUAUAUUCUUCUACUUUAGACAAGAACUUCUGGUGAAUGGAGGCUCUACCACAGCUACAACUUUUACACAGUUGUGGAAAAUAUUUGAUCUGAAGUUGGUUGAAUCAGAAGACGCCAAACCGGCAGAUAUGGAGGACCAACAGUGUAAAAUAGUGACUCAUGUUAUCAGAUUCAUAAUGCCUUCCUGACCAGCUGAAACUUCCUAACCAGCCCUAAUUAUUUUCAUUAAAAAUAUAUCACUUUUGAAAAAGUAACAGCUGAGAAAUACUACCGUCAUAAUACUU
rnacentral:lncRNA from 1 species